GUCCUGAUAGUUCAAUGGAUAGAACAAGCCUCUCCUAAGGGCUAAAUGCAGGUUCGAUUCCUGCUCGGGACACCA
rnacentral:tRNA from 1 species